rnacentral:rRNA from 1 species
AAUGAACGCUGGCGGCGUGCCUAACACAUGCAAGUCGAACGGCAGCACAGAAGAGCUUGCUCUUUGGGUGGCGAGUGGCGGACGGGUGAGUAACACGUAGGAAUCUACCCAGUAGUGGGGGAUAACCUGGGGAAACCCAGGCUAAUACCGCAUACGCCCUGAGGGGGAAAGCGGGGGAUCUUCGGACCUCGCGCUAUUGGAUGAGCCUGCGUCGGAUUAGCUAGUUGGUGGGGUAAGGGCUCACCAAGGCGACGAUCCGUAGCUGGUCUGAGAGGAUGACCAGUCACACCGGAACUGAGACACGGUCCGGACUCCUACGGGAGGCAGCAGU